rnacentral:rRNA from 1 species
UACGAAGGGGGCUAGCGUUGCUCGGAAUCACUGGGCGUAAAGGGUGCGUAGGCGGGUUUUUAAGUCAGGGGUGAAAUCCUGGAGCUCAACUCCAGAACUGCCUUUGAUACUGAAGAUCUUGAGUUCGGGAGAGGUGAGUGGAACUGCGAGUGUAGAGGUGAAAUUCGUAGAUAUCUGGAGGAACACCGGUGGCGAAGGCGGCAUCCUGGACCAAUAUUGACGCUGAGGAGCGAAAGCCAGGGGAGCAAACGGG